GACGAACGCUGGCGGCGUGCCUAAUACAUGCAAGUAGAACGCUGAAGGAGGAGCUUGCUCUUCUGGAUGAGUUGCGAACGGGUGAGUAACGCGUAGGUAACCUGCCUGGUAGCGGGGGAUAACUAUUGGAAACGAUAGCUAAUACCGCAUAACAGUAGAUGUUGCAUGACAUUUGCUUAAAAGGUGCAAUUGCAUCACUACCAGAUGGACCUGCGUUGUAUUAGCUAGUUGGUGGGGUAACGGCUCACCAAGGCGACGAUACAUAGCCGACCUGAGAGGGUGAUCGGCCACACUGGGACUGAGACACGGCCCAGACGCCUACGGGAGGCAGCAGUAGGGAAUCUUCGGCAAUGGACGGAAGUCUGACCGAGCAACGCCGCGUGAGUGAAGAAGGUUUUCGGAUCGUAAAGCUCUGUUGUAAGAGAAGAACGAGUGUGAGAGUGGAAAGUUCACACUGUGACGGUAUCUUACCAGAAAGGGACGGCUAACUACGUG
rnacentral:rRNA from 1 species